rnacentral:rRNA from 1 species
GACGAACCGAGCGAACGUUGUUCGGAAUCACUGGGCUUAAAGGGCGCGUAGGCGGGCCUGAAAGUCAAGGGUGAAAGCCCCCGGCUCAACCGGGGAAGUGCCCCUGAUACUUCAAGGCCUCGAGGGAGGUAGGGGCGUGCGGAACUUCCGGUGGAGCGGUGAAAUGCGGUGAGAUAUCGGAAGGAACAUCAGUGGCGAAAGCGACUUCCUGGACCAGUACCGACGUUCAGGCACGAAAGCCGUGGGGAGCAAACAGG